rnacentral:rRNA from 1 species
GAUGAACGCUGGCGGCGUGCCUAAUACAUGCAAGUCGAGCGAACAGACGAGGAGCUUGCUCCUCUGACGUUAGCGGCGGACGGGUGAGUAACACGUGGAUAACCUACCUAUAAGACUGGGAUAACUUCGGGAAACCGGAGCUAAUACCGGAUAAUAUAUUGAACCGCAUGGUUCAAUAGUGAAAGACGGUUUUGCUGUCACUUAUAGAUGGAUCCGCGCCGCAUUAGCUAGUUGGUAAGGUAACGGCUUACCAAGGCAACGAUGCGUAGCCGACCUGAGAGGGUGAUCGGCCACACUGGAACUGAGACACGGUCCAGACUCCUACGGGAGGCAGCAGUAGGGAAUCUUCCGCAAUGGCCGAAAGCCUGACGGAGCAACGCCGCGUGAGUGAUGAAGGUCUUCGGAUCGUAAAACUCUGUUAUUAGGGAAGAACAAAUGUGUAAGUAACUAUGCACGUCUUGACGGUACCUAAUCGGAAAGCCACGGCUAUCUACGUG